GCGCCCGUAGCUCAACUGGAUAGAGUAUCUGACUACGAAUCAGAAGGUUAGAGGUUCGAGUCCUCUCGGGCGCACCA
rnacentral:tRNA from 1 species